rnacentral:rRNA from 1 species
UACGGGGGGGGCAAGCGUUGUUCGGAAUUACUGGGCGGAAAGGGCUCGUAGGUGGCCAACUAAGUCAGACGUGAAAUCCCUCGGCUUAACCGGGGAACUGCGUCUGAUACUGGAUGGCUUGAGUUUGGGAGAGGGAUGCGGAAUUCCAGGUGUAGCGGUGAAAUGCGUAGAUAUCUGGAGGAACACCGGUGGCGAAGGCGGCAUCCUGGACCAUUACUGACGCUGAGGAGCGAAAGCCAGGGGAGCAAACGGG